rnacentral:rRNA from 1 species
GACGAACCGAGCGAACGUUGUUCGGAAUCACUGGGCUUAAAGGGCGCGUAGGCGGGUCGCUAAGUCCGUCGUGAAAUCCCCCCGGCUCAACCGGGGAACUGCGAUGGAUACUGGCGGCCUCGAGGAACGUAGGGGUAUGCGGAACUAUCGGUGGAGCGGUGAAAUGCGUUGAUAUCGAUAGGAACACCGGUGGCGAAGGCGGCGACCUGGGUAGAUACUGACGCUGAGGCGCGAAAGCGUGGGGAGCAAACAGG